rnacentral:rRNA from 1 species
UACGAAGGGGGCUAGCGUUGCUCGGAAUCACUGGGCGUAAAGCGCACGUAGGCGGCUUUUUAAGUCAGAGGUGAAAUCCUGGAGCUCAACUCCAGAACUGCCUUUGAUACUGGAGAGCUUGAGUCCGGGAGAGGUGAGUGGAACUGCGAGUGUAGAGGUGAAAUUCGUAGAUAUUCGCAAGAACACCAGUGGCGAAGGCGGCGCACUGGCCCGGUACUGACGCUGAGGUGCGAAAGCGUGGGGAGCAAACAGG